rnacentral:rRNA from 1 species
CUACGGGUGGCUCCAGUGAGGAAUCUUCCGCAAUGGGCGAAAGCCUGACGGAGCGACACCGCGUGGUGGAUGAAACCCUUUUCGGGCGUAAACACCUGUUCUGAGGGACGAAAUUUUUGACGGUACCUCAGGAGAAAGCACCGGCUAAUUCCGUGCCAGCAGCCGCGGUAAGACGGAAGGUGCAAGCGUUACUCGGAAUUACUGGCGUAAAGCGUCCGCAGGCUUCCCCAUAAGUCUGGUGUAAAAGCACGGAGCUCAACUCCGUGUAUGUGCCGGAAACUGUAGGGAUUGAGUCACUCAGAGGCACCUGGAAUGCCAUGUGUAGGGGUAAUAUCCGUUGAUCCAUGGUAGAACGCCAAAAGCGAAAGCAGGGUGCUGGGGGUGUACUGACGCUCAGGGACGAAAGCGUGGGGAGCGAACGGGAUUAGAUACCCUGGUAGUC